rnacentral:rRNA from 1 species
UUUUUAUUUAUUUUGUUAAUAAAUUUUUAUUUGUCUAAUUAAAUUUUGUUGGGGUGAUAAAAAAAUUUAUUUAACUUUUUUUAUUAUAUUUAUUGAUUAAUAAUUUUUUAUUUUUUUAUUAAAUAGUAUUUUUAAAAAAAA